UACGUAGGGCGCAAGCGUUAUCCGGAAUUAUUGGGCGUAAAGAGCUCGUAGGCGGUGUGUCACGUUCGGCCGUGAAAACCUGCAGCUUAACUGUGGGCGUGCGGUCGAUACGGGCAUCACUGGAGGUUCGGCAGGGGAGACUGGAAUUCCAGGUGAUAGCGGUGAAAUGCGUAGAUAUCUGGAGGAAUAACCGGGUGGCGAAGGCGGCAAUCCUGGACCGACAUUGACGCUGAAAACCGAAAAGCUGAGGGGAGACAAACGGG
rnacentral:rRNA from 1 species